AACGUAGGGGGCGAGCGUUAUCCGGAUUUACUGGGCGUAAAGAGCGUGUAGGCGGCUUGGUAGGUCUAGCGUCAAAACCUGAGGCUCAACCUCAGUUCGCGUGGGAAACCGCCAAGCUAGAGUCCGGAAGAGGAGAACGGAAUUCCCAGUGUAGCGGUGAAAUGCGCAGAUAUCAGGAGGAACACCGGUGGCGAAGGCGGGUCUCUGGGCCGAUACUGACGCUGAGGAGCGAAAGCGUGGGGAGCGAACAGG
rnacentral:rRNA from 1 species